AAGACCGUUGUAGGGCUACAUUAGAUGGCUGUGAUUUCAAAAACAUAAGACCGUUGAAGCGCCUAUUCCACAGCUUUAAAGGGGGCGCCAUCUCAACUUUUCUAAUCGGGCUUGUUCCUUUGUUUAUAGAUAUAGAGAAAGAUCUCAGAGAGAGUUGGAAUAGGAGGAGGAGGAAGGACUGCGAGAUACCCAGAAAGAAGACGAUUUGAUUUUCCGAGGCAUAUCUGAAAGAAUGGCUUCAAUACCCGUGGUUCAACAGCAAAAUAGAGGAGAAAUGUAUUGGUGCUGUGAAUGUGGAUGGAGUUGCUGCUGCAAAUGGAGGUGCCUAGAAAGCCUCCUUCUCAGAAGAGAGCUACUGUGAAGCCAAUCAAGCCUGAAACUGUGAUUGUAAUCAUCCCUGACACUAAAGAAGAGGUGAAGGAAAAGAACAGCCUCCGCAGAAAGGCAGCAAGCUAAGAGUUCCCAGCCUCCUAUUAGGAAUCCUGCCUUGAUUGGCCAAAACUCAAUGGAUCCAAAAUUGGGAGCAAAAAAGCUUCCUUCAAAGAAGCAACCUAUCGUAACUGCGCAAUACCAUGAUACAUGAGAAGUUAUGGCAUCAGUCAGGCUGCUUGUGCACUGAACAUUAAAUUACCAAAGGAGAAGAUUGAAGUUGGCAGUUGCAGUUGUGGAGUAUGCAGAAAACAUUUACAAAUUUGGGUACAAGGAAGCUGAGAAGGGUCCAUGAAUGAUAUCCGUGAUGGUGGCUUGAUGAAGGUGGUCCACCUAGCUUGGUGGUCCAAUGGAGAUUUGCUAAUGAGCUUGCUGAUGGGAUUAAUUCUACCACAUGCUGGGCAGAAUUAUUCUUGAAAUCUUGAGGAUUUUGGCUUAUAUGUUGGCUGAGCUCUCUGGCAAAAUAAGAAGGGGCUAUUGGUUAUGGAGAAUGCUGAAAUGCGUGAAUUAGGCUGGGAUUUUAUUCAUGAAGCUGUUUGCGCUGCUGGGCUGUUGGGCGUAUUUCACAGACAGCCGUGGUUGUCAAACAGUCACGAUUGUCUCUGAAAUACGCAGCUACUGCCUGUCCUCGCCGGACAGUCGGUGGCUGAAAUUCCUUUUAUAUUUUAUUUUAUUUUAUUUU